rnacentral:rRNA from 1 species
UUUUGCAUAUCAAAAAGCGGAGGAAAAGAAACCAACAGGGAUUGCCCUAGUAACGGCGAGUGAAGCGGCAACAGCUCAAAUUUGAAAUCUGGCCUCUUUUGGGGUCCGAGUUGUAAUUUGCAGAGGGCGCUUUGGAGUCGGCAGCGGUCCAAGUUCCUUGGAACAGGACGUCACAGAGGGUGAGAAUCCCGUACGUGGUCGCUAGCCUUCUCCGUGUAAAGCCCCUUCGACGAGUCGAGUUGUUUGGGAAUGCAGCUCUAAAUGGGAGGUAAAUUUCUUCUAAAGCUAAAUAUUGGCCAGAGACCGAUAGCGCACAAGUAGAGUGAUCGAAAGAUGAAAAGCACUUUGGAAAGAGAGUCAAAAAGCACGUGAAAUUGUUGAAAGGGAAGCGCUUGCAGCCAGACUUGCCUGUAGUUGCUCAUCCGGGCUUUUGCCCGGUGCACUCUUCUAUAGGCAGGCCAGCAUCAGUUUGGGCGGUUGGAUAAAGGUCUCUGUCAUGUACCUCUCUUCGGGGAGAACUUAUAGGGGAGACGCCAUGCAACCAGCUCAGACUGAGGUCCGCGCAUUCGCUAGGAUGCUGGCGUAAUGGCUGUAAGCGGCCCGUCUUGAAACACGGACCCAAAC